rnacentral:rRNA from 1 species
AUUGAACGCUGGCGGCAUGCCUUACACAUGCAAGUCGAACGGCAGCACGGGUGCUUGCACCUGGUGGCGAGUGGCGAACGGGUGAGUGAUACAUCGGAACGUACCUUAUCGUGGGGGAUAACGCAGCGAAAGUUGCGCUAAUACCGCAUACGCGCUGAGGGGGAAAGCGGGGGACCGUAAGGCCACGCGCGAUUAGAGCGGCCGCUGUCUGAUUAGCUUGUUGGUGAGGUAAAAGCUCACCAAGGCGAUGAUCAGUAGCUGGUCUGAGAGGACGAUCAGCCACACUGGGACUGAGACACGGCCCAGACUCCUACGGGAGGCAGCAGUGGGGAAUUUUGGACAAUGGGGGCAACCCUGAUCCAGCAAUGCCGCGUGAGUGAAGAAGGCCUUCGGGUUGUAAAGCUCUUUUGUCAGGGAAGAAACAGCAGCUCUAACACAGUCUGCGAAUGACGGUACCUGAAGAAUAAGCACCGGCUAACUACGUGCCAGCAGCCGCCGCCG